GACGAACGCUGGCGGCGUGCUUAACACAUGCGAGUCGAACGGAAAGGCCCUGCUUUUGUGGGGUGCUCGAGUGGCGAACGGGUGAGUAACACGUGAGUAACCUGCCCUUGACUUUGGGAUAACUUCAGGAAACUGGGGCUAAUACCGGAUAGGAGCUCCUGCUGCAUGGUGGGGGUUGGAAAGUUUCGGCGGUUGGGGAUGGACUCGCGGCUUAUCAGCUUGUUGGUGGGGUAGUGGCUUACCAAGGCUUUGACGGGUAGCCGGCCUGAGAGGGUGACCGGCAACAUUGGGACUGAGAUACGGCCCAGACUCCUACGGGAGGCAGCAGUGGGGAAUAUUGCACAAUGGGCGGAAGCCUGAUGCAGCAACGCCGCGUGCGGGAUGACGGCCUUCGGGUUGUAAACCGCUUUCGCCUGUGACGAAGCGUGAGUGACGGUAAUGGGUAAAGAAGCACCGGCUAACUACGUG
rnacentral:rRNA from 1 species